rnacentral:rRNA from 1 species
AGUGAACGCUGGCGGUAGGCCUAACACAUGCAAGUCGAACGGCAGCACAGUAAGAGCUUGCUCUUACGGGUGGCGAGUGGCGGACGGGUGAGGAAUACAUCGGAAUCUACUUUUUCGUGGGGGAUAACGUAGGGAAACUUACGCUAAUACCGCAUACGACCUACGGGUGAAAGCAGGGGAUCUUCGGACCUUGCGCGAUUGAAUGAGCCGAUGUCGGAUUAGCUAGUUGGCGGGGUAAAGGCCCACCAAGGCGACGAUCCGUAGCUGGUCUGAGAGGAUGAUCAGCCACACUGGAACUGAGACACGGUCCAGACUCCUACGGGAGGCAGCAGUGGGGAAUAUUGGACAAUGGGCGCAAGCCUGAUCCAGCCAUACCGCGUGGGUGAAGAAGGCCUUCGGGUUGUAAAGCCCCUUUGUUGGGAAAGAAAAGCAGCAGGUUAAUACCCCGCUGUUCUGACGGUACCCAAAGAAUAAGCACCGGCUAACUUCGUGC